GAUGAAGAACGCAGUGAAAUGCGAUAAGUAAUGUGAAUUGCAGAAUUCAGUGAAUCAUCGAAUCUUUGAACGCACCUUGCGCCCUUUGGCCAUUCCGAAGGGCAUGCCUGUUUGAGUAUCAUGAACACCUCAACUCUUUAUGGUUUUCCAUGAUGAGCUUGGACUCUGGGGGUUUUGCUGGCUCACAGUCGGCUCCUCUAAAAUGAAUCAGCUUACCAGUGUUUGGUGGGUAUCAUGGGUGUGAUAACUAUCUACGCUUGUGGUUUUUCCACCAGGUAACCUUCAGCAGUGGAGGUUCGCUGGAGCUCAUAGAUGUCUCUCCUCAGUGAGGACAGCCCUUUUAAUGUUUGAUCUCAAAUCAGGUAGGACUACCCGCUGAACUUAAGCAUAUCAAUAAGCGGAGGA
rnacentral:misc_RNA from 1 species